rnacentral:sRNA from 1 species
AUUCUGCCCAUGCGGGGAAGGAUGAGAAGCUUCGACUAAGGUUCGGCUCGAGCGUCAGCGAGAGAGCGUUGCCGCAGGCAA